rnacentral:rRNA from 1 species
GACGAACGCUGGCGGCGUGCUUAACACAUGCAAGUCGAACGGUAAGGCCCUUCGGGGUACACGAGUGGCGAACGGGUGAGUAACACGUGGGUGAUCUGCCCUGCACUUCGGGAUAAGCCUGGGAAACUGGGUCUAAUACCGGAUAGGACCCUGGGAUGCAUGUCCUGGGGUGGAAAGCUUUUGCGGUGUGGGAGGGGCCCGCGGCCUAUCAGCUUGUUGGUGGGGUGAUGGCCUACCAAGGCGACGACGGGUAGCCGGCCUGAGAGGGUGACCGUGCACACUGGGACUGCAAUACGGCCCGGCCGCGUACGGGAGGCAGCAGUGGGUAGGAUUGCAGAAGGGGCGUAAGCCUGGUGCAGCGGCGCCGCGUGAGGGAUGACGGCCUUCGGGUUGUAAACCUCUUUCAGCACCGACGAAGCGCAAGUGACGGUAGGUGCAGAAGAAGGACCGGCCAACUACGUGCCAGCAGCCGCCGUAA